AAGUGGCGCACGGGUGCGUAACGCGUAUGCAACCUACCCUUUACUGGGGGAUAGCCCGGAGAAAUUCGGAUUAAUACCCCAUGGUAUUUACAGAUGGCAUCUGAAGUAAAUUAAAGAUUUAUCGGUAAGGGAUGGGCAUGCGUGACAUUAGCUAGUUGGUGAGGUAACGGCUCACCAAGGCAACGAUGUCUAGGGGUUCUGAGAGGAUGAUCCCCCACACUGGUACUGAGAUACGGACCAGACUCCUACGGGAGGCAGCAGUAGGGAAUAUUGGUCAAUGGGCGAGAGCCUGAACCAGCCAUGCCGCGUGCAGGAAGACAGCUUUCUGAGUUGUAAACUGCUUUUAUAUGGGAAGAAAAAGGUCCUGCGGGACAAAUUGCCGGUACCAUAUGAAUAAGCACCGGCUAACUCCGUGCCAGCAGCCGCGGUAAUACG
rnacentral:rRNA from 1 species